CGUGUAGGCGGUAUGGCAAGCGGUGUGUGAAAUCCCGGGGCUCAACCCCGGAACUGCACACCGAACUGCCGUACUAGAGGACAGGAGGGGGAUGUGGAACUCUAGGUGUAGCGGUGAAAUGCGUAGAUAUCUAGAGGAACGCCGGUGGCGAAAGCGACAUCCUGGCCUGUAUCUGACGCUGAGGCGCGAAAGCGUGGGUAGCAAACAGGAUUAGAUACCCUGGUAGUCC
rnacentral:rRNA from 1 species